AACGAACGCUGGCGGCAGGCUUAACACAUGCAAGUCGAACGGGCGUAGCAAUACGUCAGUGGCGAACGGGUGCGUAACACGUGGGCAAUCUGCCGAGAAGUGGGGGAUAGCUCGCCGAAAGGCGAAUUAAUACCGCAUAUGAUCAGUGAAGACAUCUUCACGACAUCAAAGCCGGGCAACCUGGCGCUUCUUGAUGAGCCCGCGGCCUAUCAGCUAGUUGGUGAGGUAACGGCUCACCAAGGCUAUGACGGGUAGCUGGUCUGAGAGGACGACCAGUCACACUGGAACUGAGACACGGCCAGACUCCUACGGGAGGCAGCAGUU
rnacentral:rRNA from 1 species